UCGUUGAAGGCUCAGCUGCUCAGUAACGUCGCUGCCGCCAACGCGACAACAUGUACCGCUGAUUUCCGACAUCAGCAACAUUGCUCCAGUUUGGAUCUGGCAACCGAGGUCCCCGUGGCCCGGAACCCUCGGCCUCCACCAGCACUGUUGUGGACCAGCAGACGACAUACAGGAGCAGCUCGCCAGCAACAUUCCCACUCAAAAUGCAGACGUCAAACAACAGCUCUGACCCACGGAGAGUGGAUAAGAUUGUUAGG